rnacentral:rRNA from 1 species
GGGGAAUCUUAGACAAUGGGGGAAACCCUGAUCUAGCCAUGCCGCGUGAUCGAUGAAGGCCUUAGGGUUGUAAAGAUCUUUCAGAUGGGAAGAUAAUGACGGUACCAUCAGAAGAAGCCCCGGCUAACUCCGUGCCAGCAGCCGCGGUAAUACGGAGGGGGCUAGCGUUAUUCGGAAUUACUGGGCGUAAAGCGCACGUAGGCGGAUCAGAAAGUCAGAGGUGAAAGCCCGGGGCUCAACCCCGGAACGGCCUUUGAAACUCCUGAUCUUGAGGUCGAGAGAGGUGAGUGGAAUUCCGAGUGUAGAGGUGAAAUUCGUAGAUAUUCGGAGGAACACCAGUGGCGAAGGCGGCUCACUGGCUCGAUACUGACGCUGAGGUGCGAAAGCGUGGGGAGCAAAC